GUGGGGAAUCUUAGACAAUGGGCGCAAGCCUGAUCUAGCCAUGCCGCGUGAGUGAUGAAGGCCCUAGGGUUAUAAAGCUCUUUCAGCUGGGAAGAUAAUGACGGUACCAGCAGAAGAAGCCCCGGCUAACUCCGUGCCAGCAGCCGCGGUAAUACGGAGGGGGCUAGCGUUGUUCGGAAUUACUGGGCGUAAAGCGCGCGUAGGCGGACUGAAAAGUUGGGGGUGAAAUCCCGGGGCUCAACCUCGGAACUGCCUUCAAAACUAUCAGUCUGGAGUUCGAGAGAGGUGAGUGGAAUUCCGAGUGUAGAGGUGAAAUUCGUAGAUAUUCGGAGGAACACCAGUGGCGAAGGCGGCUCACUGGCUCGAUACUGACGCUGAGGUGCGAAAGCGUGGGGAGCAAACAGGAUUAGAUACCCUUGUAGUCC
rnacentral:rRNA from 1 species